AUCGGUCGCUGUUGGCCGGACCUGCGCUCCCUCAGCGUGGGCGGGGCCGGGUGUGGUGCUCAGGGAUUGGCUGCUGUGGUGCGCAGCUGUGUGUGUCUACUAGAGCUGGAGUUGGAGUGCGUUUCAAAGGUCGACCUGAAGGUGGCGACAGAGCUCUGUAAUAACGGACUCACCAACUUAGAGACUUUGACGUUGACACACACUGCCAUCACUGAGGAAGCUAUACUGCACUUUCAAAGUAAAUGUGUUAAUCUCAGGUCCAUGGUGGUGCUGAUGAUGAAGAGUCAUGCUAACGAAGGUUCGCUUGAGGAGGACAGCGUGUUCAGAG